rnacentral:misc_RNA from 1 species
AAAGUUAAAAAUGGACUAAAUUGAGGGGCAAAUUGAACCUUAUUCCUAAAAUAAACACUAGGUGUUCUUGUCAUUUUGGUAGUUUGUCGAGGGCAUAUAGGUCUGUGAUUUAAAAAAGAUAAAAAAAGACAUCAAGGGAAGAAUAAGGCAACUUCAGUGAAAGAUAAUUUUUAGCGACAGCGACACCCAUCAUAUAAAGAUGGUUUAACCCAACAAUAAUGGAGCAAUCGCUAAAGUUAAUUUAAGUUUUAAUUAAGAUUAAAUAAAAAAAAUUAAAACAUUCAAAAAAAAUUAUACUAGAAUGUAUAUACUUAUUUAAUUUGUAUUUAUUAUAUUAUAUAAAAUUACAAUAAAUAAUAUUAAAAAUAUAUCUUAUCUUAUAGUAUAAUAAUUUUAAAAUAUAAAUUAAAAGAUAAACCACUGUUUAAUUAAGAAACCCCUCUAUCAGACGGAC